GCCGAAGUGGUGGAAUUGGCAGACGCGCCGGACUCAAAAUCCGGUGAUGGCGACAUCGUGCGGGUUCAAGUCCCGCCUUCGGCACCA
rnacentral:tRNA from 4 species